UAGUAACGGCGAGUGAAGCGGCAACAGCUCAAAUUUGAAAGCUGGCUCCUUCGGAGUCCGCGUUGUAAUUUGUAGAGGAUGAUUCGGCAAGGGCUCCCGCCUAAGUCUCCUGGAACGGAGCGUCAUAGAGGGUGAGAAUCCCGUAUGCGGUGGGCUGCCUAAGCCAUGUGAAUCUCCUUCGACGAGUCGAGUUGUUUGGGAAUGCAGCUCUAAAUGGGAGGUAAAUUUCUUCUAAAGCUAAAUACCGGCCAGAGACCGAUAGCGCACAAGUAGAGUGAUCGAAAGAUGAAAAGCACUUUGGAAAGAGAGUUAAAAAGUACGUGAAAUUGUUGAAAGGGAAGCGCUUGCAGCCAGACUUGUCCGCAGUUGCUCAGCCGGUCUCCUGACCGGUGUAUUCUUCUGCGGCCAGGCCAGCAUCAGUUCGGGCGGUCGGAUAAAGACCUCGGGAACGUAGCUCCUCUCGGGGAGUGUUAUAGCCCGGGGUGGAAUGCGGCCAGCCUGGACUGAGGAACUCGCUUCGGCUAGGAUGCUGGCGUAAUGGCUGUAAGCGGCCCGUCUUGAAACACGGACCAAGGAGUCUAACAUCUAUGCGAGUGUUUGGGUGUCAAACCCAUGCGCGUAAUGAAAGUGAACGGAGGUGGGAACCCUCACGGGUGCACCAUCGACCGAUCCUGAUGUCUUCGGAUGGAUUUGAGUAAGAGCAUAGCUGUUGGGACCCGAAAGAUGGUGAACUAUGCCUGAAUAGGGUGAAGCCAGAGGAAACUCUGGUGGAGGCUCGCAGCGGUUCUGACGUGCAAAUCGAUCGUCAAAUUUGGGUAUAGGGGCGAAAGACUAAUCGAACCA
rnacentral:rRNA from 1 species